UACGUAGGGCGCAAGCGUUGUCCGGAAUCAUUGGGCGUAAAGCGCGUGUAGGCGGCUUGGUAAGUCCGCUCUGAAAGCCCGGGGCUCAACCCCGGGAGGCGGGUGGAUACUGUCAAGCUCGAGUCCGGAAGAGGCGAGUGGAAUUCCUGGUGUGGCGGUGAAAUGCGCAGAUAUCAGGAGGAACACCGGUGGCGAAGGCGGGUCUCUGGGCAGUAACUGACGCUGAGGAGCGAAAGCGUGGGGAGCGAACAGG
rnacentral:rRNA from 1 species